GGCUAAACGAAAGGUUCGACAGGGUCGAAAGGGUAUUCAGUAGGGUCGACAUGCGUUAAGGUGAUGAUCGUGGUACUGACAGAGAUAACAGGCUACGUAACCAUCGGGGGCAUGGACAAGAAAGAGUGGACAAAGAAUUAAUUUAGAUAUGUGUAUCGAAAAUGUCUAAAGCUAUAAAGGCACAAAUUGAACAAGUAUGUGAUUAUAUUGACUUGCUUAAGAGUGAAUGUGAAUGGAUCGAUUAUGAGAUUUAU
rnacentral:lncRNA from 1 species